GACGAACGCUGGCGGCGUGCUUAACACAUGCAAGUCGAACGGAAAGGCCCUGCUUUUGUGGGGUGCUCGAGUGGCGAACGGGUGAGUAACACGUGAGUAACCUGCCCUUGACUUUGGGAUAACUUCAGGAAACUGGGGCUAAUACCGGAUAGGAGCUCCUGCUGCAUGGUGGGGGUUGGAAAGUUUCGGCGGUUGGGGAUGGACUCGCGGCUUAUCAGCUUGUUGGUGGGGUAGUGGAUUACCAAGGCUUUGACGGGUAGCCGGCCUGAGAGGGUGACCGGCCACAUGGGGACUGAGAUACGGCCCAGACUCCUACGGGAGGCAGCAGUGGGGAAUAUUGCACAAUGGGCGGAAGCCUGAUGCAGCAACGCCGCGUGCGGGAUGACGGCCUUCGGGUUGUAAACCGCUUUCGCCUGUGACGAAGCGUGAGUGACGGUAAUGGGUAAAGAAGCACCGGCUAACUACGUG
rnacentral:rRNA from 1 species